GUAUGGCAAACCCUCCUAAGGAGGAAAUAUGCGGGUUCCAAGGCGGUAUCCCAAGUAUAUUGGAAGCAUGGGGAUUCCCACUUUUGGGCAGGUCUAAUGGCUACGAAGAAAUAUUUCUUCUGCUAUGGAUCCUUCUCGAUUAAGGACGGCUCGGAAAUUAGAUUCUGGGAGGACAAGUGGCUAGGAAAUGCCACACUCCGGGAACAAUAUCCGGCUCUAUACAACAUUGUGCGCUACAAAGGUGAUACUAUCACCACGGUAAUGGAAUCAUUUCCGCCAAAUGUGACGUUCAGAAGAGACUUAAUUGGACCCUGA
rnacentral:rRNA from 1 species